CAAGUCCCUCCACCUGGUGUGAGACUCCUUCAUUGCCAUAACUUCAAGUGGACAGAUGAUCAUUUCUACUGAGCACUGGGUGUUAUAGAUUAUGCAUUUGGAUUAAGACUGCAUAAUUUAGGUGGCUUGGAACAUCUGGAACAAAUGGAUUGUUUUCUGUGACUCCUUGGAGUUCCACAAAUGCAUGGAAACACCAGACUUAAUUUAUACUGGAUGAGGUCAAUACCAGAUUUUUUUAUGAAGCAGACUAAAAAGGCAAUGAUUGUUCACCGUGCCCCUCUUUCUCUCUACCCUUUCCCCACUUUUUCUCUUCCAGAAUUUAUGUUUUUAAAAAGUCAUUCCCCAUUGAUUACUGUAUCAGCCUGGGGUUUCCAGAGAUAUAGAAAUAUGAGGAUAUAUAUAAAAAGGGAUUUAGUAUAAGAAAUUAGCACAGUUGAUUAUGGAGGCUAAGAAGUCCCAAUAUCUGUAGUCUGAAGUUCUGAAAAACAUAUUCCAGCUCAAAACCAUCAAGCAGAGAGUAAAAUCUCUCUUGCUCAUCCUUUUUGUUCUAGUUAAGCUUUCACUGGAUUGGAGGAAACUCACCCAUUUGGGUAAGGAAAUCUGCUUUGUUCAGUUCAUUAAUUCAGAUGUUAAUCUCAUCCAGAAACAUCCUCAAAAACAUAUCCAGAAUAAUGUUUAUAAAUCUGAACACCAUAUGACCUAGUCAAGCUGAUGCAUAAAAUUAACCAUCAUGAUCAAAAUUUAAGUCUCUGACAUGCUAGCAAGGAAAGACUGGGGAAGAGGGUGCAUCCCCAAACAAAAUAAUAACUAGCUGCUUAACAGGUUUUCCUUCAAUAAACAACUGCUUUUAUACCAAA